AUUGAACGCUGGCGGCAUGCCUUACACAUGCAAGUCGAACGGUAACAGGUCUUCGGAUGCUGACGAGUGGCGAACGGGUGAGUAAUACAUCGGAACGUGCCCGAUCGUGGGGGAUAACGAAGCGAAAGCUUUGCUAAUACAGCAUAAGAUCUAAGGAUGAAAGCAGGGGACCGCAAGGCCUUGCGCGAACGGAGCGGCCGAUGGCAGAUAAGGAAGUGGGUGGGAUAAAAGCUUACCAAGCCGACGAUCUGUAGCUGGUCUGAGAGGACGACCAGCAACACGGGGACGCAGGAACGGCACAGAGUCCGACGGAAGGCAGCAGUGGGGAAUUUUGGACAAUGGGCGAAAGCCUGAUCCAGCCAUGCCGCGUGCAGGAGUAAGGCCUUCGGGUUGUAAACUGCUUUUGUACGGAACGAAAAGACUCUUUCUAACAAAGAGGGUCCAUGACGGUACCGUAAGAAUAAGCACCGGCUAACUACGUGCCAGCAGCAGCCGCCG
rnacentral:rRNA from 1 species